rnacentral:rRNA from 1 species
AACGAACGCUGGCGGCGUGCCUAACACAUGCAAGUCGAACGUGAAAGUACUUCGGUAUGAGUAAAGUGGCGCACGGGUGAGUAUCACGUAGGUGACCUGCCUUUUAAUGGGGAAUAACCAGAUGAAAAUUUGGCUAAUGCCGCAUACGAAGCACAAAUAUAAUAGUAGUGCUUGAAAGAAUGCCUCUGUAUAUGCAUUCGUUAAAAGAUGGGCCUGCGGAACAUUAGCUAGUUGGUGGGGUAAAGGCCUACCAAGGCAACGAUGUUUAUCCGGUCUGGGAGGAUGAUCGGACACACUGGAACUGAGACACGGUCCAGACUCCUACGGGAGGCAGCAGUGGGGAAUAUUGCGCAAUGGGGGAAACCCUGACGCAGCAACGCCGCGUGAGUGAGGAAGGACUUCGGUCUGUAAAGCUCUGUUAAUGAGGAAAAAUGGUAGUUGGUCUAAUAGGCCGAUUAUUUGAUGGUACUCAUAGAGGAAGCACCGGCUAACUUCGUGCCAGCCGCCGCAGUAA